rnacentral:rRNA from 1 species
UUGAACGCUGGCGGAAUGCUUUACACAUGCAAGUCGAGCGGCAGCACGGGGGUAACCCUGGUGGCGAGCGGCGAACGGGUGAGUAAUACAUCGGAACAUGCCCAGUCGUGGGGGAUAACACUUCGAAAGAAGUGCUAAUACCGCAUACGUCCUGAGGGAGAAAGCGGGGGAUCGCAAGACCUCGCGCGAUUGGAGUGGCCGAUGUCAGAUUAGCUAGUUGGUGGGGUAAAGGCCUACCAAGGCAACGAUCUGUAGCUGGUCUGAGAGGAUGAUCAGCCACACUGGGACUGAGACACGGCCCAGACUCCUACGGGAGGCAGCAGUGGGGAAUUUUGGACAAUGGGGGCAACCCUGAUCCAGCCAUUCCGCGUGAGUGAAGAAGGCCUUCGGGUUGUAAAGCUCUUUCGGCAGGAACGAAACGGUGAGCUCUAACAUAGCUUGCUAAUGACGGUACCUGAAGAAGAAGCACCGGCUAACUACGUG